rnacentral:rRNA from 1 species
AUCUACGGCCAUGCCACCCUGAACAAGCCUGAUCCCGUCUGAACUGGGAAGCUAAGCAGCGUCGGGCCUGGUUAGUACCUGGUUGGGAGACCACCUAGGAAGACCAGUGCUGUAGGCG